AACGAACGCUGGCGGCAUGCCUAACACAUGCAAGUCGAACGAAGCCUUCGGGCUUAGUGGCGCACGGGUGCGUAACGCGUGGGAAUCUGCCCUUGGGUUCGGAAUAACAGUUAGAAAUGACUGCUAAUACCGAAUGAUGUCUUCGGACCAAAGAUUUAUCGCCCAAGGAUGAGCCCGCGUCGGAUUAGCUAGUUGGUGAGGUAAAGGCUCACCAAGGCGACGAUCCGUAGCUGGUCUGAGAGGAUGAUCAGCCACACUGGGACUGAGACACGGCCCAGACUCCUACGGGGGGCAGCAGUGGGGAAUUUUGUGCAAUGGGGGAAACCCUGACACAGCGACACCGCGUGAGCGAAGAAGCCCUUUGGGGUGUAAAGCUCUGUCAACGGGAACGAAAGAAAUGACGGUACCCGUGGAGGAAGCAUCGGCUAACUACGUGCCAGCAGCCGCGGUAAU
rnacentral:rRNA from 1 species